rnacentral:rRNA from 1 species
AUACGGGGGGUGCGAGCGUUAAUCGGAAUUACUGGGCGUAAAGCGUACGUAGGCGGUUGGUUAAGUUAGAUGUGAAAGCCCCGGGCUUAACCUGGGAACUGCAUUUAAAACUGGCGAACUAGAGUUGAGUAGAGGGGAGUGGAAUUUCAGGUGUAGCGGUGAAAUGCGUAGAGAUCUGAAGGAACACCAGUGGCGAAGGCGACUCCCUGGACUCGAACUGACGCUGAGGUACGAAAGCGUGGGUAGCAAACGGGAUUAGAAACCCUAGUAGUCC